rnacentral:rRNA from 1 species
GCAAGGACAUGUGGAGCGCUUAGAAGUGAGAAUGCCGGUGUGAGUAGCGAAAGACGGGUGAGAAUCCCGUCCACCGAUUGACUAAGGUUUCCAGAGGAAGGCUCGUCCGCUCUGGGUUAGUCGGGUCCUAAGCUGAGGCCGACAGGCGUAGGCGAUGGAUAACAGGUUGAUAUUCCUGUACCACCUAGCAUCGUUUUAAUCGAUGGGGGGACGCAGUAGGAUAGGCGAAGCGUACGAUUGGAUUGUACGUCUAAGCAGUGAGAUUGAGUGUUAGGCAAAUCCGGCACUCUUAAGAUUGAGCUGUGAUGGGGAGAGGAAAUUGUUUCCUCGAGUCGUUGAUUUCACACUGCCGAGAAAAGCCUCUAGAUAGAUAAUAGGUGCCCGUACCGCAAACCGACACAGGUAGUCAAGAUGAGAAUUCUAAGGUGAGCGAGCGAACUCUCGUUAAGGAACUCGGCAAAAUGACCCCGUAACUUCGGGAGAAGGGGUGCUCUUUAGGGUGCAAGCCCAGAAGAGCCGCAGUGAAUAGGCCCAAGCGACUGUUUAUCAAAAACACAGGUCUCUGCUAAACCGUAAGGUGAUGUAUAGGGGCUGACGCCUGCCCGGUGCUGGAAGGUUAAGAGGAGUGGUUAGCUUCUGCGAAGCUACGAAUCGAAGCCCCAGUAAACGGCGGCCGUAACUAUAACGGUCCUAAGGUAGCGAAAUUCCUUGUCGGGUAAGUUCCGACCCGCACGAAAGGCGUAACGAUUUGGGCACUGUCUCAACGAGAGACUCGGUGAAAUCAUAGUACCUGUGAAGAUGCAGGUUACCCGCGACAGGACGGAAAGACCCCGUGGAGCUUUACUGUAGCCUGAUAUUGAAAUUCGGCACAGCUUGUACAGGAUAGGUAGGAGCCUUUGAAACGUGAGCGCUAGCUUACGUGGAGGCGCUGGUGGGAUACUACCCUAGCUGUGUUGGCUUUCUAACCCGCACCACUUAUCGUGGUGGGAGACAGUGUCAGGCGGGCAGUUUGACUGGGGCGGUCGCCUCCUAAAAGGUAACGGAGGCGCUCAAAGGUUCCCUCAGAAUGGUUGGAAAUCAUUCAUAGAGUGUAAAGGCAUAAGGGAGCUUGACUGCGAGACCUACAAGUCGAGCAGGGUCGAAAGACGGACUUAGUGAUCCGGUGGUUCCGCAUGGAAGGGCCAUCGCUCAACGGAUAAAAGCUACCCCGGGGAUAACAGGCUUAUCUCCCCCAAGAGUUCACAUCGACGGGGAGGUUUGGCACCUCGAUGUCGGCUCAUCGCAUCCUGGGGCUGUAGUCGGUCCCAAGGGUUGGGCUGUUCGCCCAUUAAAGCGGUACGCGAGCUGGGUUCAGAACGUCGUGAGACAGUUCGGUCCCUAUCCGUCGUGGGCGUAGGAAAUUUGAGAGGAGCUGUCCUUAGUACGAGAGGACCGGGAUGGACAUACCUCUGGUGUACCAGUUGUCGUGCCAACGGCAUAGCUGGGUAGCUAUGUAUGGACGGGAUAAGUGCUGAAAGCAUCUAAGCAUGAAGCCCCCCUCAAGAUGAGAUUUCCCAACUUCGGUUAUAAGAUCCCUCAAAGAUGAUGAGGUUAAUAGGUUCGAGGUGGAAGCGUGGUGACACGUGGAGCUGACGAAUACUAAUCGAU